rnacentral:lncRNA from 1 species
CUAUGAAUUUUUUAAGUAGUUUGUAAAUAGAGGCAUAACUGCCUUUUGUGGUAUAAUAGCUCUCAUCUUCUGUUAUUCUCUUCCUGAAGGGUGCUGUUGGUGUUUCAGGACCACCAGGAAUGAGAGGAAAGCCAGGGCCUUCAGGCCAGGUGGGUGACCCAGGACCCCAAGGACCAUGUGGCCCUCCAGGACCAGAGGGUUUUCCAGGAGAUAUUGGGAUUCCUGGACAGAAUGGCCCUGAAGGAUUAAAGGUAAAAAAAAAAAAGAAAGAAAGAAAGAAAGAAAGAAAGAAAAAAAGAGAAAAAAGCAUUAUAUUUAGAGGUUUUUUUUUAAUCUCAAAUAUCAAUGAAUCGGUAAAAAAAAAAACUAAGAAUAUCAGUACAUGUCUGGAUAUUUUUGAGCUAUCUCAGGUGCAUUUAAUGAACUGUUCAGCGUAUUU